UUGUUGGUAAGGUAAAAGCUUACCAAGGCUUCGAUCGGUAGCUGGUCUGAGAGGACGGCCAGCCACACUGGGACUGAGACACGGCCCAGACUCCUACGGGAGGCAGCAGUGGGGAAUUUUGGACAAUGGGGGCAACCCUGAUCCAGCCAUGCCGCGUGAGUGAAGAAGGCCUUCGGGUUGUAAAGCUCUUUCAGCCGGAACGAAACGGUUACGGUUAAUACCCGUGACUACUGACGGUACCGGAAGAAGAAGCACCGGCUAACUACGUGCCAGCAGCCGCGGUAAUACGUAGGGUGCGAGCGUUAAUCGGAAUUACUGGGCGUAAAGCGUGCGCAGGUGGUUUUGUAAGUCAGAUGUGAAAGCCCCGGGCUCAACCUGGGAACUGCGUUUGAAACUACAAGACUAGAGUGUGGCAGAGGGGGGUGGAAUUCCGCGUGUAGCAGUGAAAUGCGUAGAGAUGUGGAGGAACACCGAUGGCGAAGGCAGCCCCCUGGGUCAACACUGACGCUCAGGCACGAAAGCAUGGGGAGCAAACAGGAUUAGAUACCCUGGUAGUCCAUGCCCUAAACGAUGUCAACUAGUUGUCGGGCCUUUACGGGCUUGGUAACGUAGCUAACGCGUGAAGUUGACCGCCUGGGGAGUACGAUCGCAAGAUUAAAACUCAAAUGAAUUGACGGGGACCCGCACAAGCGGUGGAUUAUGUGGAUUAAUUCGAUGCAACGCGAAAAACCUUACCUACCCUUGACAUGUAUCGAAGCCCGCAGAAAAGCGGGGGUGCCCGAAAGGGAACGAUAACACAGGUGCUGCAUGGCUGUCGUCAGCUCGUGUCGUGAGAUGUUGGGUUAAGUCCCGCAACGAGCGCAACCCUUGUCAUUAAUUGCCAUCAUUUAGUUGGGCACUUUAAUGAGACUGCCGG
rnacentral:rRNA from 1 species